CCCGCCGAAAGGCGGAUUAAUACCCCAUUGACCCUAGAUGCGGCAUCGCGUUUAGGGUAAAGGAGCAAUCCGGCGGGGGAUGAGCAUGCGUGCCAUUAGCUGGUUGGCGGGGUAACGGCCCACCAAGGCGACGAUGGCUCGGGGGUCUGAGAGGAUGGUCCCCCACACUGGUACUGAGACACGGACCAGACUCCUACGGGAGGCAGCAGUGAGGAAUAUUGGUCAAUGGGCGGAAGCCUGAACCAGCCAUGCCGCGUGCAGGAAGACGGCCCUACGGGUUGUAAACUGCUUUUCCGGGGGAAGAAUAAGGGCGACGUGUCGCCCGAUGCCGGUACCCCGGGAAUAAGGAUCGGCUAACUCCGUGCCAGCAGCCGCGGUAAUACGGAGGAUCCGAGCGUUAUCCGGAUUUACUGGGUUUAAAGGGUGCGUAGGCGGGCCCCUAAGUCAGCGGUGAAAGUCUGCGGCUCAACCGUAGGAUUGCCGUUGAUACUGGGGGUCUUGGAUUCGGUCGAGGCGGGCGGAAUGCGACAUGUAGCGGUGAAAUGCUUAGAUAUGUCGCAGAACGCCGAUUGCGAAGGCAGCUCGCCGGGCCGACAUCGACGCUGAGGCACGAAAGCGUGGGGAUCGAACAGGAUUAGAUACCCUGGUAGUCCACGCCGUAAACGAUGAUGGCUGGAUGUUGGCGAUACACCGUCAGCGUCUGAGGGAAACCAUUAAGCC
rnacentral:rRNA from 1 species